CCCUUAGAUGUUCUGGGCCGCACGCGCGCUACACUGACGAAUGCAACGAGCUUAUAACCUUGGCCGAAAGGUCUGGGUAAUCUCCAAAUUUCGUCGUGAUGGGGAUAGAUUAUUGCAAUUAUUAAUCUUCAACGAGGAAUGCCUAGUAAGCGCAAGUCAUCAGCUUGCGUUGAUUACGUCCCUGCCCUUUAUACACACCGCCCGUCGCUCCUACCGAUUGAAUGGUCCGGUGAAGCGUUCGGACCGUGGCCUUUGGACGGUUCGCCGUCUGUUGGCUGCGGGAAGUUCGUUAAACCUUAUCAUUUAGAGGAAGGAGAANUCGUANCA
rnacentral:rRNA from 1 species